AAAAACUUUCACUCAUAAUUUCAUUAACAGCCCAUCAUUGCAAGUGGCCUGUGGGCGCUGUCGGUUUUCGAGGAACAACCUCGUUUAGCCACUGGUUUUGUACCAUGGAGGUAUGUGCAUGGUUUGUACUCUGCCUGAGAGUAAGAGCUAGCAGAAGAAGAUAACAAAGCCCCCGGCAGAUUGGCUUAGUUGGCAAAAAGAACCAGCUGCUGUUUUCUUUCACAUUGUAGCAUCAGCUUUCAGUAGUGUCUGUCGUCAGUUAUGUAAAACUUUGCACACGUGUUUCUAAUUCUAACAUUGCCAUGGAAUCU
rnacentral:lncRNA from 1 species